UUAGUUGAGGAAAUUUUUUGGUUGCAACAAUCGCAUGAGCGAUGGUUGCUCAAAGGGGAUUUAAAUACAGAUUACUUGCAUCGCAUAGCUAAUGGGCGUAAAAGGAAAAACACGAUCCACUCCCUUAAGGUGGGGGACACGGAGAUAGAAGGUACUGAUAAGCUGAUCGCUCACGCCACAGAGUUCUAUAAAGAACUUUUCGGGCUAGCUCCUGGAAACCAAUUUCACAUGGACCCUGACACAUGGACUCUGGAGGAAAAACUUAGUGAGGAAGAUAACGCUAACUUGUGCAGAGAGUCUUCUGAAGAGGAGGUCAAGGAGGCCCUUUUUGAUAUGGCUCCCAAUAGGGCUCCUGGACCUGACAAUAUCCCGGUUGAAUUCUACCAAGUUUGCUGGGAUAUCGUCAAGGAUGAUAUCAUGGCCUUGUUUAGACACUUUCAUCGAGGGACGCUGGAUGUUCAAAGGUUGAACUACGGAAUCAUCACUUUACUCCCGAAGCUCUCUGGG
rnacentral:rRNA from 1 species